rnacentral:lncRNA from 1 species
GAGGAUUCUAAGAUAAGUCAAAAGAUCUAUUGGCUACAAAAUUCUUUUUGUCACAAUAGAAUUCAAAGAGGAUUCUAAGAUAUGUCAAAUCAUAAUUAUGUUUGGUGAAACACUAAUUUCAUGGUGUUCAAAGAAGGAAUUAGUAGUAACACUCUCUUUUAGUGAGGUCGAGUAUAUUAACGCUACAUUGUGUGUGUGCCAAGUCAUGUG